ensembl:lncRNA
CACCAAAUGUGUUAGAUAAGAGUUCAGAGCCUGUGUUCUAGACACAUGAUUUAGAGUACAGACUUGGGUCCUGCUAGAAAACAACUCAGAACAUUUGCUUAGCCUAAUACUUUUUUUUUUUUUAAUCUGCACAUAAUUAUUAUUGUAGCAGCUGCUUUUGCAAUAAAAAGACUUAAAGUCGAGGGUCCCUAUUCUUACUGAGGUGCUGUUUUCCACAUGCAGUGCUUGGCUGUGUUGGAGGUCACCAAGAAAGACUUCCUGGCUGUCAUGUGGAAGCUAAGUGGGCUGGGGUCAAAAGGGUUUCUGGCCAUGGUGCUUGUGCUGCAGUGAUCUUGUUCUCCAUCACACUCCAACACAGGUAGCCAUCUUCACCCUCUCCCAAGAGGUGAAGAGUCAAGACUCACAGGGGACUCGGGGCACAAGGUGGGGGGACACCCAGGACAGGGUGCCAACCCAUUGCAGGGCACAAUUGCACACAUUUUUUAGAGAUGCCAAUCGGCCUAUGACACAUGUCCUUGGACUGCGGGAGGAAACCAGAGUACCGGAUGAAACCCCCUGAAGCACGAUGAGAACUACGAUGCACGGCAGAGGCAGGAAUCGAACCUCCAACCCUGGAGGUGCAAGGCAAGCAUGAUAACCUAGGGGCAGCAAUUGCCUUGGGCCCCGAGCUAGCAAGAGCCCCCAAAACGCUGCAUAAACUUAUAAAUCCCUUCUGUUGUGUGCUGGAAGAUCGC